GAGCUGGGCCGAUACUCCCCUGAGACAUUGAAGGACGAGGGCAAAAAGGCCGGGAGGUUCCAGUGGGGCCUCCGCCCAGAGAUCAAGUGACACUUAUUAGUACUAGAGCUCAAGACAUAUUCAGUCGUUCUGACAAAAGCGUAGAUCGUGGAAAGGAGUUUCAACACCCUUUCCCAGUCAGAAGGGAGUCACAGACCCUCAGCUCCACCCCGCAGAC
rnacentral:lncRNA from 1 species